rnacentral:lncRNA from 1 species
GUUUGGGGGAAAACUAAUAAUAAAAGAAACAGAAGGAAUGAUUAAAAAUGGAAAAUAACAGCAUGUUCACAUAAGGAAACCAGAAAGGAUCCAUUGAAACUGGACACCAGCAGGUCAUUUGUUAUCUAAUUAAAAGAAGUUUCAAUGGAGCAACAGAGACAAAAACAGACUGUAGUGGGUUAUGAAGUCAGCAGGAGAUGAGACAAUGAAGGCCACCCCGGGUGGCCCAUGCCUUUAAGGAGCUUGGCUGUGGAGGGGAGACAGCUGGAGUGAUGAGGUAACAAUGUGUUUGCUGGGAUGUGGGUGGGAAGAUGUGGGAGGAAGAGUAGAAAAUGCCAUGGCUGAAGUGGGCAUGGGGAGAUGACCUACACAGAAAGCUGAGCAGUGCCAGGGGACAGUACAGAGUAGAAGAGACCAGAAGGUCGAGUCGGCCGUAGGCCCACGACAGACGCCACCCGACUGUCUUCCAAGCACCCCCCGGGAGUGUAACGGAGACCUAACAGCGGCCUCCCGCCGCUCCGGGAGCCCUACUCGCCAGCAACCCCACGACUCUAACCCGUCGCUAAGGUGGGCACGCCCCGCGACGUCACUUCCGCCCACAGGUGAACCGCCGGAAACAGCGCGACCGGCGUUACCGCCGGGCUUCGUCAGGGAGGCCAGAGGCUGGGGUUGCGGGGCUGCGAUCCCCGAAGGUGCCCCAGCCGGACCAGACACCCUCACCCCCAGUCAGCCGGGCUGUCUAACACUCACCCUGGGCAGCGUGGUUGCCCCACGCGUAAACCAAGUCGCAACGGUCCUGCCGCCAGCCUCCCAGGGAUGAGACGUGUUCGGCGUGACGCUCGCGCCCACCGGAAGAUCCGCCCCAGCCGCGGGGCGAGACCCAGUGCGCACGCGCUGGGCUGCCAACUGGGUUAGGAGCGCCGGCGCGAACGUGUGGUUGCUGGGAAGCCCAAUCUUCUGCCUCCCGGCUGCCUGGGCAUGUCUGGAAACCGGCGUUUUACUCUAGUGAAAAGCACAUCCUCAGUAAGGCGGUUGUAAGCACUGAGAUGUUUCCAAAGAAAGAGGCGGGGGGCGGGGGGUAAGGGGUAAGGCAGCGGGCCCUAUCGAUGGAAAUGCUUACAAUUAACCUCUGAGCCUAUCAAGUGGCUGGGGGAUGCCGAGGAUCAAACCCACAGUCUCCCACUUGUUAGGCAUGUGCUCCAUUAUUGAACUACAUCCCCAGCCCCCUUCCACGAACCUGAAAGAAUGGAGGUGUAGGGAGCCACACUAUCUCCCAGAGAAUCUCACUUUGCAGUUCCCGCCGCAGUGGGCGUCUCCCUCCCUAGCCAUCUUGAGUUCUCUGAAAAGGUGAGCAGUAGGAAAGGGUCUUACCCACCCCACACUCUCACACCUGAGCCAAGAGUUUAGGGCGUUGCAAACUGGCUGGGGAAGUAGACCUGAUCUAACUACAAAGUUCCCGACACAUGCACAAAACAGUUCCCAAAGCCCUGUAGUGGAGCCAACCAGAGAGCGCUAUCUUUAGGAUGGCCUAGACCAGGCAUCAGCCUGAGGAGUGGGGGAUACACAAGGACAGCCACCACUGAGCUGGGUGCUACUGCAUUUUUUUUUCCUGGUGCUCUGCUCUCAUGCUGUAGAGUAUUCUUUUUCCUACUUGGCCCAAACUCACUCUCCAGAACGUUUCUUUUCCUACCUUUAAUAAAUACAAAAC